rnacentral:rRNA from 1 species
UACGGAGGGGACUAGCGUUGUUCGGAAUUACUGGGCGUAAAGCGCACGUAGGCGGAUUUGUAAGUCAGGGGUGAAAUCCCGGGGCUCAACCUCGGAACUGCCUUUGAUACUGCAAAUCUCGAGUCCGGAAGAGGUGAGUGGAAUUCCUAGUGUAGAGGUGAAAUUCGUAGAUAUUAGGAAGAACACCAGUGGGCGAAGGCGGCUCACUGGUCCGGUACUGACGCUGAGGUGCGAAAGCGUGGGGAGCAAACAGG